GUGUAGGUGGGGUUGUGAUAUAUUGUGCCCAGUGGGCCACUUUUGGUAAGCAGAACUGGCGCUGUGGGAUGAACCAAACGCAAUGUUACGGUGCCAAAAUUUACAACUCAUGCAGAUACCAUGAAAGGCGUUGCUUGCUUAAAACAGCAGGACGGUGGACAUGGAAGUCGUAAUCCGCUAAGGAGUGUGUAACAACUCACCUGCCGAAGCAACUAGCCCUUAAAAUGGAUGGCGCUUAAGUUGUAUACCUAUACAUUGCCGCUAAUGUAGAUGAUCUAUAUCAUGUUUCGGCUUGAUAUUAGAUUUUGAAACAUUAGUGAGUAGGAGGGUACAAUGGUGUGCCUAGAAGUGUUUGG
rnacentral:rRNA from 1 species